UGGGCACUAAACUUCAACUCUUCGGCCUUC
rnacentral:piRNA from 1 species